UGGUAAGUUCCUCCAGACAUCUGCCUUCUCUUCCCUGAUUCCUGCUCCAACCAGCCAGCCCUGCUGCUUCGGUCUCCAGCUCAUGCCUUGCUUAUAUAUUUUCUCAAAUCAUUGCUUGGGAGCUGGGGGCUUGCAAUGGCAGAAGAACAGGCGUUCUGUCUGAGCAAUUCAACAGGUAUAGUGUCUGAUCGGCAAUGUUAAAAGGUGAUAGUUGAGAAGAUGGCUGUUAGGAGUAUGAAGCAAGUCACCAGAGGGGCAGAGCAAAAAGACUGUGAAACAGGAACUAAGAGAGAAAAGCACUGUGGAAGUUAGUCUGUUUUCCUACUGCCCCUUGAUACCUGCAGACUUCUUAGCAAUGCUCCUGGCACUGCUAACCAAUCAGAGCACUGGUGGGGAGGGUCUGUGCCUUAGCAGCUGUUCCUGGGACCUGCAGAGGGCUUCCUGGGCCAGCAGCUGCAAUGAGAUGUCUGCCGGCCUAGAGAGCACUUGCUCCCAAAGUGGCAUAUUAUAAGUGAACCUGCACUGAUAGCACCUGGGGAAGGCCACUGAACUGCUCCCAACUGGUUUUAAUUUGUGCAUUUGUAAAUUGUGCUUGAGUGUAGCAGAUAACUACGGCUAGUUCCCCUCAGCCACAGAACUAAGGGAUAGUGGUGCAGGCCUGUAGCUCCAACACUCUGGGAGGCUGAGCAGGAAGACUGCAAGUCUCAACAUAACAACUCAGAAAAGAGUUGGGAAUCUAGCUCAUUUUCAACGCCCUGGUUUUAAUUCCCAGUGCCACAAUAAAAAACCCCAAUGUUUUGGCCACAUAUACAAUAGUGGUCCCAUAUAAAUUCUAAUGGAGCUGAAAAAUUCUUAUUUGCCUAUUGAUGUCCUAACCUUAACGAUGCCAUGUGUAACACAUUACUGAUGUGUUUACAGUGUCACUGAUGGAAAUGAACCUAUUAUUACCAGUUGUAUGAAAGCACAGCACAUACAACUAUGCAGUACAGAAUACUUGACCAUGAGACUGAUGGAUUUAUGCAUUUAUUGUACUAACCUUUUAUCAGUAUUUUAGAGUACACGCUUGCUUACAAAAAAAACAUUUUGCUGUAUAACAGUAUUCUGUGUUACACUAGCAGCAGCCUCCUAUGUCUUGCGGUCUUAUGUUCAUGUUUGAUGACUGUACCAAGAGGUCGCACGGAGUGACCUGUAAUUAUCAGCUGAUGCAAGCAUACUCUGUGAGCACAAAUGGAUGAAUUACCUUCGCAGACACAUUUUCUGAGUAUAUCCCCGACAUAACAGUGCAUGACUACAACUCUAGGCUGUAAGGAGUUAUCACAUGUAUAGGAUAUCGCAGUAUCCCUGGUCUCUAAACACUAGAGGCUGGUGACACACACCUGUGCCCCUCCUUUUCCUGCUAUAGUAGUUGUGACAUUUAAAAAUGUCUCUGGAAAUCCAGGUGUGGUGGCGCAUGCCUGUGAUUCCCGCACUCCAGGACACCAAGGCAGGAUGAUAGCAAGUCCACUGGGUAAUUUAGUGAUUUAGCAGGACUCUACCUCUUCUGAACAAAAUAAAAUGGGCUAGACAUGUAGCUCAGUGAGAAGGUCCUGAGUUCAAUCCCCAGAACCACUAAAUAAAUAAAUCUCAAGGGCUAGAACUUUCGCAAAAGGGAAAGAGAUCAAGAGAUGGAGGGAAGUGAGGGAGGAGGGCACUGAAACAAUUAGGAUCUGUUAUGUGUAUGUGUCAAUGCCCCAAAAUAAAUGUAAUCAUUACACACUGCAAACUGUAUACUAACUACUAACUAACUAAAUAGUGUCUCUACAGCCAGGUGUGGCAGUCUACACCUGUUUUCACAGUGCCUCGGGCAGGAGGAUGCCAAGUUUGAGAUCAUCCUGGACUACACAGAGAGACCUUAUUUCAAAAAAAAUUGUUUUCCUAUACAAUGCUAAAUACUCCCUGAGGAAUAAAAGCCACCCUUGUUAAAAACCAUUGUGCUUUUCUACAGUUUAGAUGAGGGAUGAUGGCACAUGCCAAGUGUUUAAAACAGCCUCUAGCACAAUACUAGGUGCUCAGUAAAUGUAAAUUCCAUGUAAUUUAAAUAGAAUAUGGCCUUUUUUCCCUUGCAGUUAGCCCCCACCCACCCUCAGGGUUCAGAGUGGUGUGGGGAAGGCUUCCGGGGAGGGGUCGAGUGCUAGGUCCUCUCCAGAGGUCUCAGAGGUGAAAGGUGAGCUGUCUCUCAGCUGCCCAGACUCUUGGACUUGUGUGAGGGGAAGAAGGGGUGUAGCUUGCUACUGCUGCCUAUUUAAGCCCACCCAAGAUUAAUAUGUUGAAAACUGACCACCAAUGUGAUUAGGGCCUUUGGGCAGAGCGUUCAAGAAUGUGAACUGUUGAGAGAGGAAAUCUUUGUCUCUCCACCAUGGGAGCAACGCAACAAGAAGACACCAUUGAUGAACCAGAUUUGGGCCCUGACACUGUCAGCACCUUCAUCUUAGAUCUCUCAGCCUUCAGGACUAUGAGUCAUACGUUUCUGUUGUCUAUAAGCUCCCCAGUUGAUAGUGUAUUUUAAUAGCGCUCUGAAAAGACUAAGGUGUAUCCAGAAGCCUAGAGAAGAUGGGGGUUUCCACAGUUCACACAGAGAGCCUUUCCCAGUCGACAUCUCUUCUGCUUCAAUUCUUCCCUGGAUACUGAGAGGAGACACAGAGCCCAUUCUAGAUGAUCGCAUGACUCCUGCUGACAGGCACCUUCCAUCAGCAAAGCUAGAGUGUGGAGCCUGCAGAGAAGAUGGGGUGGCCAGGGACAUGGAAGAAGGACUUGGGUCUGCAGGCUGCAACUCCAGACCACAGAGAAACUGCCCAGCUGUUCCCAAAAUACAUCUGGUCUGAGCAGCUGUGACAUCCUGCCUGCCCCAGAGUCUGGCUGCUCCAUAUGCAGAGGAAGAAGAAAAAGGAGAGAAUCUGGAAGCUGCACUUCCUUCCAGAUUCAUGGAAGGAUCCAUGGAAGCCUUCCAGGACAACAACUGAACACAACAGUCCUGGGUACCAGUUAGGAUAGGUUCCAGGACCCCAGGAAUUUUCCAAAAUUCGUACAUGCUUGAGACCCUCUAGAAAGUGGUAUAUUUAUUUCUAACCUAUAUACAUCUUCCUCUGUAUUUUAAAAAUUCUCUAAUUUAAUUAUAAUACUUAAUAUAAUGAAAGUAUUAUGUAAGUAGUUGCACUAUAUUUAGGGAAUAGCGAGAUGAAAAAAAGUUACAAGGCAGUACAGACGAGAUUGGGCGCAUUAGGGGUGAUAAGACACCAUCUUCUCCCCCCAAAUAUUUUGAUCCACAGUGGUUGAGUCCAUGGAUGCAGAACCCACAGAUAUCUAGACCAAAUGGACAGGCAACCUCGAGUGGCCCAAGCUAUGGAUUCCGCAGUACCCGCUUUUGUGACCAUAGAACAGAGAACUGAGAACACAACUCCCCAGAUGUCCCACUGGCCUUCCAUGCCUCCAGCCAUCCUGCACACAGGUGCUACAUAAUGCAGGAAGCAAUCCAGCUGGGAAAGACCUUGGCUUGGAGGCAGGUGGCAAGAGAAAGGAAGAAAGAGGUACAUCUCGGAACACUCAGAAGGAUAGAAAAAGCAGAGGAGCAGAAGGCAAGAGACGUCUCAACACCCAGAGAAAUCAGAAGAAACUGGAGAUGGGAGGACCAGCUCUCUGGGAGAAAAAUCCACAAAACAUGGUGACAUCUCACUAGUGAGGUGUCUUUCCGUGUCCCCAGAACAAACCUGCCUAACGCAUAAGGACUGAGCAGCUGAUGACGUCGACUGGCUCUUUAGUCGCAGUCCAUAAUUACCAGUGGGACCCUGGCAGCAGCCCUGAAGCGCUGACUCUCUCUGUCCUCAGCUCUGCCACUCACCAAGAGAGGUGCUCUGGGCAAGUCCCUUCCCCUCUCUGUCUUCAUCUGUUUGAGGGCAAAGAGCGCAGCCCGCUGUGACUUCUCACAAAGCCAUGAUCCAUUCAACCUAUUAUUGAAAUAAGUCCUGGACCCAGUGCCUUGCAGAACUUCCCACUCUUUGAAGCCCCAGUUACCAAAUAUUUCCAGGCCGCACAGCAUCUCUGGGACAUGCUGAUGCACAGUUGGAAAUAGAAAGGCAUUCUAUCAAGUCAGGUUAUUUCUAGAAAGAAGUCUUCCCAGCCUGAAGUCUGUUCUAUGCAGCAUGCUCGCUGCAUUCCCUACCCAGCCUGGAGACAAGGCCCUCCUUGAGGGCACCUCCCUGGGCCCCUUCACCUUGCCACCCCUCCAACUCCAUCUGUGAGAAAAUCAGUCCUAAGGAAUAUGCUCAAGCUUUACAUUUUCCCGAAGGCUCUACUAAGCCUGUGUCUCAGGAUUUUUUAUGUCUCAUCUAUAAUACCAGACCUGUGCCUCCUUACGGCCCAUCUGUGCUUGUGCUUCUUGGAGUCUAGCACAGGGCAAGGCACCAAGAAUGGCUGCUCUGGGGUUCAAACCGAGACUCCUUAGAGGUGAAGACAGAAAAGACAACAACUUGGGGAAGAAAGUUUUACAGACAGAGGAGGGACAAGGAGAGGGUGAUGUGAAUAGCACUGCUUGCAAAGGACCUUUGAACCCCAAAGUUCAUGUUUCUAUGCACGCUGACAUUUUUUUAACGCAGACUUCAGUUCCCUGAUAAAUCUUGGAACUGCAGCUUUGAACUCUCGACUCCAGCUCCUGUAUCCAAGUAACUUCAUCAUCAAGAGGAAGUUUCUUAGUCAACAAAUGUCUGCAGGUACUGCUAGAGGGCCCAGAGAAUCUGAAAAAAACUGGCAGAUGAGAAAAUCUAGUCUCAGGAACAGCCAGGCAUCCUGCCCACACCUGCCCCAACCAGCCACCCACUGGCUUGGGCUGCGGAGCCUUUGAGCAGAGGCAGCUGCAGGCCCGGCCAAGGAAAGGACUGGAGGCAGCUGGGGACCUCUUCCUGGCCUCCUUCAGUGGCUAGCUCUCCUUACAGGGCAGGUGGAGGUGGGGGAGGCUCGCAGGGCUUCUCUUGUUUUCCCCACCUGGCUGCAGUGUGGUUUGUCUGCUGGCGCCACUGAGGCGUUGGGGCUGGGGGAAUCUGAUCAGCUGGGGGGUGGGGGUGUCCUCAAGGCCUGAGCAGUCUAACCCUCCCU